UGGAGUGAGAGAAUUGGCCAUCUGCAAGGACGUUGCCCAGGGGACGCCUGGAUGUUUUGAUGUUUUACCAUCCUUGUGGGAGGCUUCUCUCAUGUCCCCACAUGGAGCUGGGGCUGAAAGAGGGAGCUCAUCCGCGCUCUUCCCCGGGUGGGAUUCGAACCUGGCAGCUUUCAGGCGUAUGCUCAGCCGGAGCUCAUUCUUCUGGCAGGAUUUGAAACCCCGGAAAACAUGUGACUAAUUCACAGGAAGGAACACCAACUGAAC
rnacentral:lncRNA from 11 species